ensembl:snRNA
AAAAAGAUCUUCUACCAUAAGUGGCACACGUAGGGCAUGUUGCUUGCUCUAUGUGCAGAAUCAACAUCAAGAUAUUUUGGAGGUAUAAUUUUCUGGCAGUAGGGUCGCUGGUUAUUGUUGGUCCUGGCACCACC